GCGUUAAGGGCUCGCAGGCGGUUUCUUAAGUCUGAUGUGAAAGCCCCCGGCUCAACCGGGGAGGUGCAUUGGAAACUGGCGGAACUUGAGUCCAGAAGAGGAUAGUGGAAUUCCCCGUGUAGCGGUGAAAUGCGUAGAUAUGUGAAGGAACACCAGUGGCGAAGGCGACCCCCUGGACUGAUACUGACACUGAGGAGCGAAAGCGUGGGGAGCGAACAGGAUUACAUACCCUGGUAGUCCACGCCGUAAACCAUGUCGUCUAGCCGU
rnacentral:rRNA from 1 species